AUUUUUGUCUAAAAUUUUCAGCCUCCAGAUGCUAAUUGAUGCCUACCUCUUCAGGUUUAUGAAAAAGUCGGUGCCGUGCUGUGCUGACUGAGCUGUUCCCCAAGAUGGGAAACAAAAGAUGGUGAAACAGUGACUUCAUGUUUGGCCAGGCCACAGUCACAUUUGGAGUUUUCCAAAAAAAGAUGACGCA
rnacentral:lncRNA from 1 species